rnacentral:rRNA from 1 species
UACGUAGGGUGCGAGCGUUGUCCGGAAUUACUGGGCGUAAAGAGCUCGUAGGUGGUUUGUCGCGUUGUCCGUGAAAACUCACGACUCAAUUGUGGGCGUGCGGGCGAUACGGGCAGACUGGAGUACUGCAGGGGAGACUGGAAUUCCUGGUGUAGCGGUGGAAUGCGUUGAUAUCAGGAGGAAUACCCGUGGCGAAGGCGGUCCACUGGGCAUCAACUGACGCUGAGGCGCGAAAGCGUGGGUAGCAAACAGG